AGACGCUUAAGCGAACACACAUUGAUUAUCCUACGGUUCUAUAGGUCGAGAAGCCUGGAACUCUGUGGUCCUGCACCUCCCCCUACACCCCCCAACAAAAAUUAGCCUCCAAUCAGCUCCUGGAGACAAUGUUGGUGGGAACCACAAGGGUUCCUGGGCAUGCCCAAUCUCUGGCACUGAAGAGGAGAUUCAAUCAAAAUAAAUGUAUGCUGUCGAGGCCAGGCUGGCCAUAUGUUCCUGCCAGGCAGUUGUCAGGAGGAGAUAUUUGUUACAUUCAAAUGUGGACACAAGCUCCUACGAAGGCAAACACUUGUCAUUUAAAGGGACAUCUGAAUAUGGCAGCAUGUUUCCAGUGAUAACCCAAUUUCAUUUUACAGCCUUUUCCUUCCCUUUCUCUUGGGCUCUGGGCCUCCUUACCAACACAUCCUGUUGGCCAGCCUGCUCUAUCACAGCAGUAUAGUUGAAAACCUAGGCUCAUCUGUCAGUCCAUAAAGCCAGGAAGAGUUGAGAGACAAGUCUGUCUUCUUGAGGACGCGUAGUUUCUGUGAAAAUAAUACACACACACACACAC
rnacentral:lncRNA from 10 species